UACGUAGGGGGCAAGCGUUGUCCGGAAUCAUUGGGCGUAAAGAGCGUGUAGGCGGCUCGGUAAGUCCGCUGUGAAAGUCCGGGGCUCAACCCUGGAAUGCCGGUGGAAACUGUCGAGCUAGAGUCCGGAAGAGGCGAGUGGAAUUCCUGGUGUAGCGGUGAAAUGCGCAGAUAUCAGGAGGAACACCAAUGGCGAAGGCAGCUCGCUGGGACGGUACUGACGCUGAGGCACGAAAGCCAGGGGAGCAAACGGG
rnacentral:rRNA from 1 species